UUAGCUUUGAAUUUUUGUCACUUAACUUUCCUUUUCUUUAUUGAAAAAAACAAAAAUUCUUCAGAUCUGUUUCUUUUCUGUUUAGCCUUUUCUACUAUGCUAAGGUUGCUUUUUAUAUGGCAAUGAGAAAGCCUUAUUUUCAAGUGGUAGUACUGGAUACACUUCAGAGCUACGCAGUCUCAAGAAGCUUUUUAUUUUUCCACACACCUAUACACAACAUUUUAUAAAUAUAAAUAUGUACAUAGCUGCAUUUGUUUGAGUGUAUCUGUGCUUACGUAUAUACUCUGUCUCUUUAACUAGAGAGUUUUUGUAAUGAUUUAAUGAUGGGUGUUGAUGGUUAGAGACUGUUUCUUUCUCCCUUAACAGUAUGAAUAAAGCAGUAGGGCAUCUGUGAAAUACAGUUCUGUAAAUCUCAGAACAACAAGGGUAGUUUGUGUGUUUCCUUUUGCCUAGAAUCUCCCAUUUGUGUUAAGCAAAUGUUUUAUUUAUUUACUUGUGUAUUGUUUCCAAUUUUUUUUGGAUGUUGGUAGACUUUCCUAGUGUGUCUCUUACUGUUUUGUUUGAGACAAGGAUUAGCUGAAUAAAUUCAAGUAAAAUAAGAGUCUAUUCCUCUCUAGCAUGUUUCCAAGUCAUGACCUUGACCCAAACUGAUCAUUCAUGGAAGUUUACAAAAAUUGCACUCUUUACUACCUGCAUUUUUGAAUUUCUCCUGAUUUAGGAAGCAGAAUGUAGUACCUGGAUUCUCAAGAGACAGCUCUGUAUUCUGAGACAUAUUUGGACCAAAUUUUCAGACUCAAGGGAUUCUAUUAGCUUGGAUAAAUUCUGAAUAAAUAUCAUUUUGGUGUUUGUCAACAUUUAUCUGAACCAGAAGUUCACUCAUCUUCACAUGAAUGUUCACUCAUUUUUUGACAAAUCACUGUGGCAUGUGAUAACAGAUCCUUUUCAAAGACUGGAGAAAGGUAUAAUUUGAAAUCUUUGUUAUAGUUAAUUUUACUAUUGAAUAAAAUACAAAAGGUAGUAUUGUAAGAAAGAAAGGAUGUGUCAAUAUGAUAAGGAAAUAUAUGCAGAGAUAUUUCUGGGAGAAUAUCCAAACUGAUGUUAUUUAUAUAAGCAAGUACAUGCAACAGUCAUUGCCUUUUUAUUCCUGUAAUCAACAAAGUAAAGUAAAAACUGCAUUCAAAUAUGACAAGAUGGCUUGGUGUCAUAGCAUGUCAACCAACAAGUUAUCUUGAAUUAAUCUUGGACCAAUAAAUAAUUAUUCCUAUGUUCUAAACUGAGUUUUUAAAGUCAUCAGCUCCUCUAUGAUCUUAUAAAUAAAUAAGCAAACAAACAGACAGACUGUUCUAUAUGUCAGAAAUUAUUUACCUCUGUUUUUACUCCGGCACAUCAUUUCUGUAGCCACUAUGAUAGGAGGAUCUGUGACAAUAAAUUCCUACAUAUUCUACACAAAUAGACUCAUAGCUAUCUCAAAGAUUGUAUAGCGGAGUUAAGAUUUGAGAGCAAACACAUGGACAAAAGUUCACAUGAAAAGCUAGACGGGUCUUUCUCUCCUGGCAGGUCAUUACUGUAUUUGUACUACUGACAGUGAGGAAGAAGGAAUCUUUAUGGAUCUUACUGAACCUGUGGUGAGUGAACUUGAUGCAGCUUUAGCAGUUCAUUGGUCAACCAGAAGCAGAAAUACUUCCCACAGUUCCAUUAAAUUUAAAAAAAAAAAAAAAUAAUAAAAAAAAAUUCAAUGGCUGUUACCAAAAAUUCAGAAGUAUGCAGCUGUUACCAGUGAAGUGACUAAAUGGGCUACAUGACACACCACUUCGGCUGGAACGAAACUGAUCAAAUUGCAGUGACAUGGAAGUCAAUUCUUCAUCUCUCUACCUCCUGAAGACCUCUUUGUAGAAAGAAGGGAUACAGCAUGUGGAGCUACUGAAUCAAGCCCAUGAAGAAAAGAUAGGUGACUGAGGGUUAGAAGAGGAGUUUGGAUGUCAAGUUCAAGCUUUCCUUCCUGACUUCUCCAUGGAUGCGCUUUGUCACGUGGCUCAACAUUCUUGGAGCUGAGAAGAUGGAGUUCUCUAAUUUUGCACACUGGUGCUCGCAAUUGCUGGAGAGUAAUUUCUUCUUGACUGUACUUCCCUGCACAGACUGACUUUGUCUUUUACCUUGUUGCCUUCUGAAGGGCAGUCAGACAUUGCAUUCAAGGCUGAGUGUCCCACCUGUUGUAGAGUUUGGAGGCAUAGUCCUUCUCUCAACCCAAAGGUACCACAGUUGAGUUUCAUCUAAGUCAUCUAGUUUUCUCCAUAGGCCAGUAGAGAAGAAUAGAAAUUUCUUGGCUGAAAAUACAAAUAAGUCAUUACUUAAGGUGUCUGAUUUUUCCUCCUUGUAUUAAACAAGCAAAACAAAUAAUUAAACAAACAAUGAAACAAAAGAAAAAAACUCCAUACACUCCAAUAAAAGAAAAAGAAAACAGCAGAGGUGAUGAGCUCAGAUAUCUGCAUCGGAGCAUUCCAGAGUUUAAUGGGAUUAAACUGUACCUCAGUUUCCCUAUGAAUAAACUAUAACAAUAGGACAUCAAUAACAGUAUAUCAAAUUAGAGUGUUGACACCCACUUCUUUAUGUGAAUGUGUUGUCUGCUUAGACAGAAUAACUCUUCAAAACAGAUGGCAAAAGGAAAAUGUUCUCUCUGUAUGUUAUGCUGCCUAUUUCCAGCAGGAUUUCGUUACUGAAGUAACCACAUUUCUUUGCACUGAGUUGCAAGGCAAAGAUCGGAUGGGACAGACCUGCCUGCACAUCUAGGAAUUGCUCCCAGUCACACAGAUGUAUUUCUGAAUAGAAAUGCAAUAGAAAAACAGUGUUGUUUCAAAAGACAUCAGCUUCUAGAAGGCCCCUGUUGGAUCUGUAAGCGAGUGGAUUGAGGAGCAUCAGAUAAUUCAUUUAUUCACAGAUUCUAAGAGUGAAAGGGUUGCAUUUUGAUCAUCAGGUCAGCUGUUUGGUGUAACGUCAGUUUCCCUUCGUCUACAUUUGUUCAGCUGUUCAACUAGAAUAUAUGUUUCAGAAGAAAACCAUACCAGACUGCAGAAUUCCUAGCUUCAUGUCUGAUCAGACAUUGUAAAGGAGUUUUUCUCAUUAAUUAAUGCUCUGUUGAAAUCAUUAUGCCUAUUUGCUAUGGAAAGAUUUAUCAAGAAAUUCACUGGAGCAGCUAACCUUGCUGUCAUGGAUUUGGUUACCCUUCCUUUUGCCUCAUUCCUGGUCCUCAAGGUUUCAGCAAAUUUCUCCCCAACUCUCAGCUUCCUGGUGAAUUUUCUAUCCCCUCUCAUUCGUGGGGUGUGACAGGAUAAUAGCAGCAAUCCAGUCCUUAUUGUCUGGAUCUGCGGAUGAACGGUGCUGUAUAAGUGUAAAGUGUUAUUAUUAUUGUAAGGAAAUAAUAAUACUAAUAAAACAAAAUGAAUCGA
ensembl:lncRNA